GUGACCCUGCUUCUCCCUUUCCAUCCGGCUGCUGGUCCCCACUUCCUGCGUCGUAAGGACUGAGAAAGACGACUAAGGUAUUGUCGGGUAGAACACGGGGAGGUGUGGGCGGCUGCUGCUGGUGCAAACAGGGGUGUCCUCCACAGGGGCCUGGCCGUGGAUUCCUCUGGAAUAGCCAUGCUCAGACGGCGCACAACCAGACGCUACACAGAGCGCCUCAGAUGGUGUGGCUCAGAGAGAAAGAGAGCAUAACCAGGGUGAACAGAAGGCAGGGGGAGAAGCAGGCUUCCCGCUGAGCUGGGAGCCCAACGUGAGGCCCUAUCCCAGGAUCCUGGCAUCAUGACCUGAGCCCAAGGCAAGAGGCUUAAUCCACUGAGCACCGCAGGCACCCCUGCUUUGUGGGGUUGGUAGGGGGAGAGGUCAUUUGUUCUUUUGUUUCUAGAGAGAGAAUGUGUGUGCCUGCACCACACAGGGUGCGGGGUGGGAGACAGGGGCAGGGGGAGAGGGAGAGAGAGAACGUUAAGCAGACUCCCCGCUGGGUGCUGAGCCCACAGGGGGCUUGAUCUCACCACCCCGAGAUCAUGACCUGAGCCAAAACCAAGAGUAGGAUGCUUUACCGCCUGAGCCACACAGGCACCCCAAGAGCUGUGUGUCUAGAUCAUUUGUCGAAGCCAGUGGUUUUCAACGGAGGGCGAUCCCCACCCUCACUCCCUGCGGACGUUUGAUUAUGACUGAAGACAUUUUGCGGCCACAGUGUUACAAGGUUACGGCGUCAAAGAAUGAAGACAUUUUGCGGCCACAGUGUUACAAGGUUACGGAGUCAAAGAAUGAAUCUCGAGGACACACAAGGGUGAAGCGAAGUGAAAGUUUACUAAGUGACGGUGAGAACAGAAAGGAAAGAAGACAGCUCUCUAGAGGGAGAGGGGUCCCGGGUGGUUGCCGCUGAAGGCUGUGAGUGGCAUCUUUUAUUGAGCACUGACCAGGGAACUUCAAUCUCCUUGACCCCUCCACCACUGAGAGCACCAUGUUCAUUUAUCUUUGACGUUGGGUAAGUUCCAAUGGCCCAGCUCGAAGUGUCACGGUGGUGUCUCCUCUCCGACAUGGAAGACAAACGCGGCAGUCUUCUUAGUCUCAUUGUGUUCUCUUAUCUCUGGUUUUGUACGCCUCAGCAUCUCUCCACCUGUGGGAUUUCUGUGAGCCUGGUCACGUAGCCCCUGCAUGAGCCUAGCCUAGCCUCCUAUCUCUCCCUGCCUAUACCUUAACCCUUUCCUUACUCAACAGAUUGGGAGGGGCUUAUUCUACUGGCAUCUAGUGGGUAAAGAGGCCAGGAGUGGAACUUAACGCCCUACAAUGCACAGGACUGUCCCAACCACACAGAAUCAUCUGGCCCCAAAAUGUUAACAGUGCCGUAGCUAAAAAAUCCUCAGUCUAGGCAUUCAGAAAAAAUAUGCUUCUGCUGCUUUGCCAAAAAGGAAAAACUGCGUAGUUGACAUUCGCUGAAUUGCUUUGGCCUCCUGGUUCUCUGACGCUCACACAGUAAGUGAAUUGAGAAGUCACCCACGGUGUGUGUAAGGGCAGAGAAGGGUUUAAUUCUGCCUUUCGGAAACAAGGGAAGAGACCUUCCUUUCCCUUUUCUUUCAGAAUUUCUUUCUCUGUUUUAUCAAGCAAAAGAUGUAAAUAUUUUUAGUGGCUAAAUAAGCCUGUUGCCAGUCUCACAACUCAGGAAUGUUUCCCUGGAGGACCUCGGACCAGGAGCCAUCUCUCUGAAACGUAAUCAUCAGGGAAGAUCGCGCCCUACCUCCCAGUUCCCUGGGACAGGACGGACCUAACUUCAACUACCAUCUGACUUCAAAUUGCAAAACCCACCGAAUGUCAGGGGUGCAGCCACUGAGCUGCGAGAGAGGAAGCUUCCCUUCUGUCUUUGCUGUUGUUAGCAGAUGGCCCGAGAUGCAUAUCAUGUUCUGGCCUAAUGCUUCUUCAGUAAAAAGAUGAUUUUCUUUCUCUUCUUUGUAGACAGGUUUUCUGAGUUACAAACACAUUUCAUUUUUAAUUAUAAUUUCCCAACGAAUGCCAGUUUAUUAGAAUAGUUAAGAAGCAAAAUCUGUCCGAAACGCGGACGCACAUUUCUUGCCUUUUCCUAAUAAGGCUGUUUGACACCCAUUAAUUCUUAUUUACUUUUUAUCUUAAGCCAGUUCAAGAUUAAGCACUCUGUUGUUUAAAUGUCCUUAUAACCUGUCCUUAACCACAUGAUAAUAAACAUUAGUAUUGUUUUCAAAUAAGUUGUAUGUGAUUUUAAAAUCACCUCUGUUUAAAAAGCAUGUUUCACUAUUUCAUAAUUCCUUUCCAAGAAAUUAUUCUACCCAUUUCUUUUUUUUUUUAAUUUUCCUUUCCUUUGUGAAUAGGAGCUUUGCUUGAUAAAAAUAGCUCCCAGGACUGGGCUCUAGUAAGAAGUAGUGACCAGCCCAGGCAUUUUUGGCAAAUGAAGUAAAAUGAGCUGUGGUUUCCAGUUUGGGGGGCAAAUAUUGAAACCCCGAGAUAAAAAAUAAAAUUUAAUUGAGUAAAUUUUAAA